rnacentral:rRNA from 1 species
GACGAACGCUGGCGGCGUGCCUAAUACAUGCAAGUUGAGCGCUGAAGGUUGGUACUUGUUCCAACUGGAUGAGCAGCGAACGGGUGAGUAACGCGUGGGUAAUCUGCCUUUGAGCGGGGGACAACAUCUGGAAACGAAUGCUAAUACCGCAUAAAAACUUUAAACACAAGUUUUAAGUUUGAAAGAUGCAAUUGCAUCACUCAAAGAUGAUCCCGCGUUGUAUUAGCUAGUUGGUGAGGUAAAGGCUCACCAAAGCGAUGAAACAUAGCCGAACUGAGAGGGGGGAUGGCCAAAAUGGGAAUGAGACACGGCCCAAGACCCUACGGGGAGCAGCAAGAGGGGAACUUCGGCAAUGGACGAAAGGCUGAACGAGCCACGCCGCGGGGGGGAAGAAGGGUUUCGGAUCGUAAAAAUCUGUUGGUAGAGAAGAAAGUUGGUGAGAGUGGAAAGCUCAUGAAGUGACGGUAACUACCCAGAAAGGGACGGCUAACUACGUG